AGUGAACGCUGGCGGCAGGCCUAACACAUGCAAGUCGAGCGGCAGCGGGUCCCCGCGAGGGGAUGCCGGCGAGCGGCGGACGGGUGAGGAACACAUCGGAAUCUGCCUGGUUGUGGGGGAUAAUGUAGGGAAACUUACGCUAAUACCGCAUGCGACCCUGAGUCGACGGACUGGGGGUGAAAGUGAGGGACCUUCGGGCCUCACGCGACCAGAUGAGCCGAUGUCGGAUAGCUAGUUGGCGGGGUAACGGCCCGCCAAGGCGACGAUCCGUAGCUGGUCUGAGAGGAUGAUCAGCCACACUGGGACUGAGACACGGCCCAGACUCCUACGGGAGGCAGCAGUGGGGAAUCUUGGACAAUGGGCGCAAGCCUGAUCCAGCCAUGCCGCGUGGGUGAAG
rnacentral:rRNA from 1 species